ACGGGAGGCAGCAGUGGGGAAUAUUGCACAAUGGAGGAAACUCUGAUGCAGCGACGCCGCGUGAGUGAAGAAGUAUUUCGGUAUGUAAAGCUCUAUCAGCAGGAAAGAAAAUGACGGUACCUGACUAAGAAGCCCCGGCUAACUACGUGCCAGCAGCCGCGGUAAUACGUAGGGGGCAAGCGUUAUCCGGAUUUACUGGGUGUAAAGGGAGCGUAGACGGCGAAGCAAGUCUGAAGUGAAAGCUCGGGGCUCAACCCCGGAACUGCUUUGGAAACUGUUUUGCUGGAGUGCAGGAGAGGUAAGCGGAAUUCCUAGUGUAGCGGUGAAAUGCGUAGAUAUUAGGAGGAACACCAGAGGCGAAGGCGGCUUACUGGACGGUAACUGACGUUGAGGCUCGAAGGCGUGGGGAGCAAACAGGAUUAGAUACCCUGGUA
rnacentral:rRNA from 1 species